GGCGGGGGCGGGCCGGAGAGGGGCGGGCUCUGGACCUCGGGUUUUGGCGCUCCUCCGCACCCCGCUGUCUGCCCGUGAAGUUUCAGCCCUGUGUUUAAAGAAUAACCCCAAGCGCGUGGCUUAGUGUGAGCGAACGUGUGUGACGUCGGGAGGCGCCGUGGCUUAACCGAACCGCCCCACUCGACUGUCCCUUGUCUGGACCAAAACUGCUGACUGAUUGACCCUGGCGGUCACAUUUGCCCUCUGGGGUUUUUGGAAACCCUAAAUCAAAGUUGCUUUUCUCCCUGGCAACUCGCACGGCUGCUUCCGCGGCCUCUGGGCCGAGAACAGAUAAGGACGCGAGUUUCCCCGACCAGUAGUAUCUUUGGAACCGGCGGCUACGAGGAUGUGUCUGCGAGGGCAGCUGGCGGCGGUUUGCCUGCCCAGGGGCCGCGAUACCGGGAGGUGGGCGCCGGGUCGGUCCGGGUCAAGCCGAGACUGCAGUCAUCGCGUCCGGGCAGCUCUGUGCUAAGUGUGGAAAAGCCUCUGAGAAAGGGGCAUCAAUCAAUCGCCAGAAGCCUGCGCCACGGACGGAUUCUUAUUUUUCUGGGGAUCUGCUUAGGGUGUCCCUCUCACACUGCAUUCUCUCUCCUCACACAAGACCGGCGCGGGGCGGGGAGGAGAAGAGGAAGGGACGCGACUUGAGAAGGCCGAGCCCGGGCGGGAGCUGGGCAGGCGGGGAGCAAGAAGGACCUGCAGUCCGCCGGUUAAGCCCUCGUUAAACCACAAAACCCCUUCCCCACAAGCCCUCGUCUCUUUUGUGCGGUCCCCACCGCGGCGCCUGCAAUAACCGUGUGAACAGAAACCCGAAACGUUUCAUCCUGACUUCUGAAACUUAACACCCGGCAAAGCACAGUCUCGGGGAGGUGGGGUGG
rnacentral:lncRNA from 1 species